rnacentral:rRNA from 1 species
CUAAUACCGCAUAAGACCACAGCACCGCAUGGUGCAGGGGUAAAAACUCCGGUGGUACAGGAUGGACCCGCGUCUGAUUAGCUGGUUGGUGAGGUAACGGCUCACCAAGGCGACGAUCAGUAGCCGGCUUGAGAGAGUGAACGGCCACAUUGGGACUGAGACACGGCCCAAACCCCUACGGGAGGCAGCAGUGGGGAAUAUUGCACAAUGGGGGAAACCCUGAUGCAGCGACGCCGCGUGAGUGAAGAAGUAUCUCGGUAUGUAAAGCUCUAUCAGCAGGGAAGAAAAUGACGGUACCUGACUAAGAAGCCCCGGCUAACUACGUGCCAGCAGCCGCGGUAAUACGUAGGGGGCAAGCGUUAUCCGGAAUUACUGGGUGUAAAGGGUGCGUAGGUGGUAUGGCAAGUCAGAAGUGAAAACCCAGGGCUUAACUCUGGGACUGCUUUUGAAACUGUCAGACUGGAGUGCAGGAGAGGUAAGCGGAAUUCCUAGUGUAGCGGUGAAAUGCGUAGAUAUUAGGAGGAACAUCAGUGGCGAAGGCGGCUUACUGGACUGAAACUGACACUGAGGCACGAAAGCGUGGGGAGCAAACAGGAUUAGAUACCCUGGUAGUCCACGCCGUAAAC